GAUGAACGCUGGCGGCGUGCCUAAUACAUGCAAGUCGAGCGAACGGACGAGAAGCUUGCUUCUCUGAUGUUAGCGGCGGACGGGUGAGUAACACGUGGAUAACCUACCUAUAAGACUGGGAUAACUUCGGGAAACCGGAGCUAAUACCGGAUAAUAUUUUGAACCGCAUGGUUCANAAGUGAAAGACGGUCUUGCUGUCACUUAUAGAUGGAUCCGCGCUGCAUUAGCUAGUUGGUAAGGUAACGGCUUACCCAGGCAACGAUGCAUAGCCGACCUGAGAGGGUGAUCGGCCACACUGGAACUGAGACACGGUCCAGACUCCUACGGGAGGCAGCAGUAGGGAAUCUUCCCGCAUGGGCGAAAGCCUGAAGAACAAACGCCGCGUGAGUGAUGAAGUUCUUCGGAUCGUAAAACUCGUUAUUAGGGAAGGAACAUAUGUGUAAGUAACUGUGCACAUCUUGACGGUACCUAAUCAGAAAGCCACGGCUAAAUACGUGCCAGCAGCCCGCGGUAAUACGUAGGUGGCAAGCGUAUCCGGAAUUAUUGGGCGUAAAGCGCGCGUAGGCGGUUUUUUAGUCUGAUGUGAAAGCCCACGGCUCAACCGUGGAGGGUCAUUGGAAACUGGAAAACUUGAGUGCAGAAGAGGAAAGUGGAAUUCCAUGUGUAGCGGUGAAAUGCGCAGAGAUAUGGAGGAACACCAGUGGCGAAGGCGACUUUCUGGUCUGUAACUGACGCUGAUGUGCGAAAGCGUGGGGAUCAAACAGGAUUAGAUACCCUGGUAGUCCACGCCGUAAACGAUGAGUGCUAAGUGUUAGGGGGUUUCCGCCCCUUAGUGCUGCAGCUAACGCAUUAAGCACUCCGCCUGGGGAGUACGACCGCAAGGUUGAAACUCAAAGGAAUUGACGGGGACCCGCACAAGCGGUGGAGCAUGUGGUUUAAUUCGAAGCAACGCGAAGAACCUUACCAAAUCUUGACAUCCUUUGACAACUCUAGAGAUAGAGCUUUCCCCUUCGGGGGACAAAGUGACAGGUGGUGCAUGGUUGUCGUCAGCUCGUGUCGUGAGAUGUUGGGUUAAGUCCCGCAACGAGCGCAACCCUUAAGCUUAGUUGCCAUCAUUAAGUUGGGCACUCUAAGUUGACUGCCGGUGACAAACCGGAGGAAGGUGGGGAUGACGUCAAAUCAUCAUGCCCCUUAUGAUUUGGGCUACACACGUGCUACAAUGGACAAUACAAAGGGCAGCGAAACCGCGAGGUCAAGCAAAUCCCAUAAAGUUGUUCUCAGUUCGGAUUGUAGUCUGCAACUCGACUACAUGAAGCUGGAAUCGCUAGUAAUCGUAGAUCAGCAUGCUACGGUGAAUACGUUCCCGGGUCU
rnacentral:rRNA from 1 species